GCAGUAGUGGUUUGAAACGAACGUGUUUUUUUCUCGUGCCGAAAACCAUGUGUGACGAAAAACAUGAGCAACGGAUAAACGUAAAAUUUUCUCGUUAAACUAAAAAAAACUCCAACUGAGUGCUAUAAGUUGUUAAAAGAGGCCUAUAGUGAGGAUUUCCUAUCUCGGGCGCGUGUUUUUGAGUGGCAUAAAUUAUUUUCUGAAGGUCGAGAGUGCACCGGAAUCCAAUUCAGUCGUAAUCCAAAUUCAAAACCGUUUUCUUCGAUAUCAACGGCAUCGUGAUGACUGAAUGGGUUCCAGAGGGUCAAACUGUGAACCAACAUUACUAUUUGACAGUUUUGGCAACAUUGCGCGAAUGAGUUCGUAAGAAACGGUCGAUAUUGUGGAAAAACAAGCCGUGGAUCUUGCACCAGGAUAAAACGUGAAGCGUUAUUUGGCCGCUUAAGGCACUCCAGUACUCGAACACGCGUCUUACUCACCCGACUUGGCACCCUGCGACUUUUACUUGUUUCCGAAGAUAAAGUCUGACUUAAAAGGAAUCC